GGCUUCGUAGCUCAGCCGGUAGAGCGCUUGCCGCAUUGAGGCAUAGUGCUUCUGUCGUUGGUUCAAAUCCAGCCGAAGCCC
rnacentral:tRNA from 1 species